ensembl:lncRNA
AAAAUCGAACCAACGCCCAGCCAAUCACGUGGCGCUCCUCCGGUCAUGUGACGCAGACGGUUCACCUCACAAGACCGGGGUCAACCACGGCUAUCAGCAUGAACGACGGCGCUUCAGACCCACGCAGCGAGGACCCGAUGCCAGGUCCAGUGGACAGACUUCAGACGUCUCUGUGUGUUCGGUCCUGUCCGGUCCUGUCUCUGGUUGCCUGGUUACAGACGCUGCUGCACCCGCACGUUUAAAAAUGUCUACACCUGAAACUCCACCACGUCUAAAGAAGCAAAAACGUUUGCAAAUGUACAGACUGGAGUGGGAAGAGUGGAACCCCUGGCAAUGGAUACAAGGCAAACUGUGUUUUCUGUUGCUCAUGGACUGGCUGAAGUAAGGCAGCAUCAGGAGACAAACCUGGAGGAAAUAUAAGAACAGAGAGAACCCAACCAGCAGGUCACAGUUUAUCAUCAUCUAAUCAUCUCCUGAAGUCCAUAUGGUCCCUCUCUAUCUCCCCACACAUCCACCAACCACUGGAACACAUCUCCAAAGUUCUGCUGGACCAGCUCAGCUUCCCCUCAGAAGAAGUGCUGCCACCUGCCAGAUGAAGGAGCCUUUUGAGAGGCAGCUGGCAUCGUGAUUGGACUGUACUGUGGUCUGUUCCAAUCCAGCUUCAGCUCCAGAGACGGCAGGUGGGACGAGUCAACGGAGGCCGGGUGGACGAAGACAUGCAGCUGAGUACAAUCCAGAAAACAACAGAGGAGGAGUGCAGCAGCCCAGAGCCAGAACAACCAGAGUAGCAUCAUAUGUCUCUUAGAAAACAUCAUAGUAUAGCCUUUGGUAUGAAAAAACGCCAUCAUAUACAUCGUAGAUUGUACAAAUAACAAGUCAGAGGAAAGAGACAUAGAUUGUAGAAUUGUAGUAAUUGUGGGCUGACUGAUUUACUGAUUAUCAGUAUUUUAUUUUUUACUGAUUUACGGUAAUAAAUACAUUUAAAAAUGGCGCUACUUUGGCUCUGAACCUUUAUCUACCUGUGGUCGCUCUGUCUUCUGGAGUGAUUUGAUUGGUUAUACGUCACGAAUAACUCUUUUAACUUAACAUCUGUAAACAAAACAAAAACAUAUCAACAAAGUUUUCUGUUAGAGUUUGUGUUCUUCUAAGUUUAACUCCAAGAUUUUAAAUACUUUCAUUUCCUGCAAAUGAAUAUCUACUCCAAAUGUUUCACUAAUAAUCAUCAUCAGCCUUAAAAAGCCCACAAAACACCCCUCUAUACUCAACCACACUUAGUACGGUCCGGUUCCCCUUCUAUAAAUCUGCUUGGAAUCUUCCACUUCCUGUUUGUCAAAGUGACCUUCUACCUGGACAGGUUUUGUUGGCGCUCAUGCUACAAACAUUUUGGGUAACUGCACUUUAAUAUGGAUGGAUGACACUGCAU